GACCCGGUGGUGUAGCGGUAACACACCUGAUUCACUGUAGGUUCUCAUCCGCGGGAGUGGCCCGUUCAAUGCGGGCCUGGGUCA